rnacentral:rRNA from 1 species
UGGUGUGAUCAUACCAUCAUUAAUGCACUGGAUCCUAUCAGAACUCUGAAGUUUAGCAUGCUUAAGCGAGUGUAAUACUAAGAUGGGAUUUGUCACAAGACUUCCAUAGGCACAUGUAAGACAUGGC